GUGAAUACGUUCCCGGGCCUUGUACACACCGCCCGUCACACCAUGGGAGUUGGUUUUACCCGAAGGCGCUGUGCUAACCGCAAGGAGGCAGGCGACCACGGUAGGGUCAGCGACUGGGGUGAAGUCGUAACAAGGUAGCCGUAGGGGAACCUGCGGCUGGAUCACCUCCUU
rnacentral:rRNA from 1 species